rnacentral:rRNA from 1 species
UACGUAGGGGGCAAGCGUUGUCCGGAUUUAUUGGGCGUAAAGAGCGUGUAGGCGGCCAGGUAGGUCCGUUGUGAAAACUCGAGGCUCAACCUCGAGACGCCGAUGGAAACCAUCUGGCUAGAGUCCGGAAGAGGAGAGUGGAAUUCCUGGUGUAGCGGUGAAAUGCGCAGAUAUCAGGAAGAACACCCGUGGCUAAGGCGGCUCUCUAGUACGGUACUGACGCUGAGACGCGAAAGCGUAGGGAGCGAACAGG